CACGUUAAACCAUAUUGGGACCGCGGGACUCGGGGUAGACCCUUUGCCCGCUCCCAUCUCUCGCACAUCGUGCGCCUAGGCGCGCGUUGUGCGGGCUAACGAACCCCGGCGCGGCAUGCGUCAAGGAAAACUCAAAGAAGCGUUGAGCUCCCAUCGCCCCGUUCGCGGUGUGCAGUGUGGGAACUAACGUCUCUAUAAUGUCAUAACGACUCUCGGCAACGGAUAUCUCGGCUCUCGCAUCGAUGAAGAACGUAGCGAAAUGCGAUACUUGGUGUGAAUUGCAGAAUCCCGUGAACCAUCGAGUCUUUGAACGCAAGUUGCGCCCGAAGCCAUUCGGCUGAGGGCACGUCUGCCUGGGCGUCACGCAUCGCGUCGCCUCCCCCACCCACACCCCAUGGGGCGUUUGGGUGCCGGGGGCGGAAAUUGGCCCCCCGUGCAUUUUUUCGCGCGGCCGGCCUAAAUGUGAAC
rnacentral:rRNA from 1 species